UCCACUGCGGGACGGUAAUGAGCUGAGCGAUGUUGGAAACGACGAAAAAAUUUAGAAGUCCGAGAAAUCUUCUCAAUUCCUUGAUUGGUUUUGGCUGAGGGUAACAUAAAAUAGGGUCUACUUUAUCGGGUAAUGGUUUGGUGAAAUGGUUAGGCUACAAGAAAGUUUUGGGCGUUUUGGGUUGCAUCAAAAAAUAUAUCGGAAACCUUUAGAAGUUUACAACAAAUGCUACAAGUAAGUUUUGGGUGUUAAAUACAGCAGCAAAACUUCAAAAUUUCUUUUAUAACUUUCUUAGCUUUCUCUUUGAUAGGCGUGUGAAAACGUUUUUGAUAAAAAGUUAUGUAAUAAAGAAGUUUAACAAAUGAUAAUGACAGCAUAAUUAUUCUCUUAAUAUUUGAAUUUUAAACAUAAGUGAUAAGAACCUGAAAAACACCAGAAAUGUUUUACCUGCCUCUACUCUAUACAAAACGUUUUUUCUUAUGUUCAAUAUGCUAUUUUUACUCUUCUCUUAUUUAUGCCCUGAACUGAAGGUGUAUAAGUGUAUGCCCUGAACUGAAGGUGUAUUUAGUAAGAUAAGACUAAUUACAGAGGAAGUAUAAUUUCCACACCAUCAAAAUAGGUGGUAAAUAUUAAACUUUUUAUACAGACUAGAAGACUCCACACCCUGAUCGCUUCGCUCACCAGUCUACAGGAUCAUCCAUCAUUGUUCUUGUUUACUCUCAAAAGUCAAUUAUUUCCACACAAAAAAGAACACUUUUACACAGUAUACAAAUAUUGAAUUUUACAAGUUUUACACAAGAACAUUUAACUAAUAUAUUAAUGGAAACGAAAUUAACGAUCACCUGCAUUUGUUAAAUAGACUGUUUAUAGUUUAUCUGUUUAUAGUGUAACUGUUAGAUAGACACCUGCAUUUGUUAGUAGAAUAAUUUGUUCUUGAAGAAAAAAACUUAACUCAAGGAAUACAUGCUAUGUUAACCAAUAUGAAGAAAUAAAUGAGAAUUAAUGACAAACUAUUCAAAUAGGUAACGGGUUUGCUCAGAAGCACUACUGCAAUUACGUAGUACAAAAAUUCUAUCUACAAGUCCUGCUGUGCCUGGAGUUUAAGUAUGAUUUCAUAAAAAGAGCACUUUAUUUUUCCGAAGUUGUAAUUCAGUUCUGACGUUUUCUAGCUUGCAAAAAUAAAGAUGGAUAUUAAAAAAAUAAUUUUUUGGAUUUUAACUGAGUUAAAACCGAAGUUAUUUGACUUGCGCACGAUAAAAUAAAUUUUAAGUACGAUUUACCUGGAAAUAACUGCUCUUCAACACUUCUCAAUUUUUCAUGAUUAUAACAAAUACUACUGUUUAUAAUCAGGAUGAAGAUGGUUUCUUUCAGCCGUAAUAACGAAAUUACAAUUGAAGAAGAGCUCAAAAAAGUUAAUAUAAUUAAGUCAAAGGUGCUCAACCUCUUAAAGCCACGUCUAUCCUUUUUAUUGUCCGUGCCAGGAAGGUCUUGAUUGCCAUGCUAUUAAUCUGAGUAGGGAGAGCAUAAGUACCGCCACCGCUAAAUCACAGAAUCGUGGAAUUUGUAAAAGACCAGAAACACAGUAACACCUGAGUUAGUAAACAGAAGAAAGUAGCACUAAAGCACUUCACAAAAGACAGAAUCUAUAAAGAAAAUCAAAUUUUUUUAAUAACAUGUUAGACUCAUGAUUUUUGUUAUCUAUCUAAAAUAUUCGAGUUUCUAAAAUUUCGAAUUUCCAAAGAUCUAAUUACAUUGAUUUUAUCUAAAUUACGUUGCAUAAUUUAUUGCGUUUAAAGGCACGCUAAAGCAAUUAUUUUACCAUAAAGCAUUAUUGAGUAUAAUAUAUAUUAUUGAGUUUAUAAUACAUUAAUUUUAAAUUAAUUUUUUUUUCACAAAUUCCUCUUUUUAAAUUUUUCCAAUAAAUUGUACCAAAUUUUUUUAAUACAGUUUAAGCUAAAUUAGUUAACUUAAAUUCUUAACUACAUAUGAUAAUGUUCUGUUGCUUGAUUUGAAAUUAAAACAGAACCUUACAAUUAGUAAAAAAAUUAGAUAGCCAUUUGUGUGCAAUUUU
rnacentral:lncRNA from 1 species